rnacentral:rRNA from 1 species
UACGAAGGGGGUUAGCGUUGUUCGGAAUUACUGGGCGUAAAGCGCACGUAGGCGGGUGGUUAAGUCAGGGGUGAAAUCCCGGAGCUCAACUCCGGAACUGCCUUUGAUACUGGCCAUCUAGAGAUCGGAAGAGGUGAGUGGAAUUCCCAGUGUAGAGGUGAAAUUCGUAGAUAUUGGGAAGAACACCAGUGGCGAAGGCGACUUUCUGGACCGUAACUGACGCUGAGGCAUGAAAGCGUGGGGAGCAAACAGG